CCAGUAUGGUCAGAACUAAGGCUAGACACUCUCCUGACCAGCAUCUAGUCCCUGGAGUGGGCUUUGGAGCAAUAAUCAUCUGACCCAAGGUAGAGUUUCAGGAGCGCAGGAGUCUGGAGGUGUGAUGCCCCACAGGGUAGCAGCCAGGAGCUGAAAUCUGGCCCACUGGAAUGGCUUGGUUAUUUGUUGCAGCAACAGGAAACUGACCAACACCAUCCUGUACACUGUGGCUCUUCCUAAGACCACGUUCUACCAAUUACCCACAUAUAGACACGCUCCAAGGCCUGAUGGGAAGGGCCAUCUGUGUAUCUUGCUUAGAACAGCAGCUGGCACUGUGUGGAAGUUCGUCCCUCUGCAGCCCAUUACGGUUGCAGAGACCCCCACGGCCGGUG
rnacentral:lncRNA from 1 species